rnacentral:rRNA from 1 species
AUUGAACGCUGGCGGCAGGCCUAACACAUGCAAGUCGAGCGAGCGGCGGACGGGUGAGUAAUGUCUGGGAAACUGCCCGAUGGAGGGGGAUAACUACUGGAAACGGUAGCUAAUACCGCAUACCAUCAGAUGUGCCCAGAUGGGAUUAGCUAGUAGGUGGGGUAACGGGUCACCUAGGCGACGAUCCCUAGCUGGUCUGAGAGGAUGACCAGCCACACGGGAACGGAUGCACGGUCCAGAUGCCUACGGGAGGCAGAAGUGGGGAAUAUUGCACAAUGGGUGCAAGCCGGAUGCAGCCAUGAAGCGUGUAUGAAGAAGGCCUUCGGGUUGUAAAGGACUUUCAGCGGGGAGGCGUUACCCGCAGAAGAAGCACCGGCUAACUCCGUGCCAGCAGCCGCGGUAAUAC